rnacentral:rRNA from 1 species
AUUGAACGCUGGCGGCAGGCUUAACACAUGCAAGUCGAGCGGGGUGAUGGUGCUUGCACUAUCACUUAGCGGCGGACGGGUGAGUAAUGCUUAGGAAUCUGCCUAUUAGUGGGGGAUAACAUCUCGAAAGGGAUGCUAAUACCGCAUACGUCCUACGGGAGAAAGCAGGGGAUCACUUGUGACCUUGCGCUAAUAGAUGAGCCUAAGUCGGAUUAGCUAGUUGGUGGGGUAAAGGCCUACCAAGGCGACGAUCUGUAGCGGGUCUGAGAGGAUGAUCCGCCAAACUGGGACUGAGACACGGCCCAGACUCCUACGGGAGGCAGAAGUGGGGAAUAUUGGAAAAGGGGGGGAACCCUGAUCCAGCCAUGCCGAGUGUGUGAAGAAGGCCUUAUGGUUGUAAAGCACUUUAAGCGAGGAGGAGGCUCUUUUGGUUAAUACCCAAGAUGAGUGGACGUUACUCGCAGAAUAAGCACCGGCUAACUCUGUGCCAGCAGCCGCCGUAA